ensembl:lncRNA
AGCAAUAAUAUGUAAGUGCUGUGGCAAGUCUCAGUAAGCCUCGGCAAACCUAACGCUUUUUAUUAAAUAGAUAAAAAGAAAAAUACGUAGAUAAAAUAGAAAAAAGAAUAGGGAAUGAUAGUGUCUCUCUUUUAUUUAUUUAUUUUUUAAAGAAGACUAGUAAGAAUAGAAAUAGAAUAGAGAGUGCAAGUGUUAGAGAGGGUGAGGGGGGCAAUAUACUGUAUAAUACUUUUUAAAUAAUGACUUUGAUAUAUCAAUACUUAAAUUAUAUUUGGACUCAACAAGUUCUUCAGAAAUAUUUUAUGUUUAAACAAAUUCUUUCUAUACAGUUUGUACAUAAAUCUCUGUAAAUGACUGUCAUUUUCCACAUUCCCAGCUGCAGGAUUGUUUAGUCUUGUUGUUGAGUUUCCCUGCUGUGAUAAGGAGCAGGGUAAACACGACCGGUGGGACCCGAGCGGGCUGCACUCACACUGGGCUGACAGCCGGCCGAGAACGCAGGCUGUGGGCCUCUCAACAACCACACGCAGGUCAGGAAACAUCUGGGUGACUGAAAGCAACAGAUGCCGUAGCCCGAUAAGGGAAGCACUCUCCACCCCACUGAACCGGCCUCUCACACGUCCAGUACAAGCAGGACCAGGCCUCCAGCUUAUCGAGAUUUGGGAAAAAGUAACAAGAAAGAGUGGACAGUCUUUGCCUAGUAGCUCUUUACAGCCAAGGUCGUGAUCCCCGGGCCUGUUAAAGACCCCCCUGGGGUUGAGGCUGCAACCGGAUAUUUAAAAUAACAGUGCGAGGGUCCUGCUGGAGCCCUGCGCUGCGUGAGGAGGGAGCAGGAGAGGUUAGGGGUCAAGACACUGGCCAACAUACAUCAGCAAGUGCCAGUGCAGAGCCAAUGACUCUAUCAAUGAAAGACAAAGAGAAGAAAUCCAGAGCAAAUGAGUACAAGAACAAUAAAACAAGCUGUUUAAAACA